rnacentral:rRNA from 1 species
AGUGAACGAGGGAGGGAGGAGGAACACAGGCAAGUCGAACGGCAGCACAGUAAGAGCUUGCUCUUACGGGUGGCGAGUGGCGGACGGGUGAGGAAUACAUCGGAAUCUACUUUUUCGUGGGGGAUAACGUAGGGAAACUUACGCUAAUACCGCAUACGACCUACGGGUGAAAGCAGGGGAUCUUCGGACCUUGCGCGAUUGAAUGAGCCGAUGUCGGAUUAGCUAGUUGGCGGGGUAAAGGCCCACCAAGGCGACGAUCCGUAGCUGGUCUGAGAGGAUGAUCAGCCACACUGGAACUGAGACACGGUCCAGACUCCUACGGGAGGCAGCAGUGGGGAAUAUUGGACAAUGGGCGCAAGCCUGAUCCAGCCAUACCGCGUGGGUGAAGAAGGCCUUCGGGUUGUAAAGCCCUUUUGUUGGGAAAGAAAAGCAGCAGGUUAAUACCCCGCUGUUCUGACGGUACCCAAAGAAUAAGCACCGGCUAACUUCGUG